GACAUAAAAUCUGUGAAAUAUUUACAGCAACACAAAGUAAUAGUUAGUGAAUACAAAAAAAGUUAUGAGUAGCUUUAGAAUGAAUGAGAUUAUACUAUUCUUUUAGUAUCAA